rnacentral:misc_RNA from 1 species
UCCGGUUUGUCACCGGCAGUCUCGCAUGAGUCCCCAACUAAAUGCUGGCAACAUACGACGGGGGUUGCGCUCGUUGCGGGACUUAACCCAACAUCUCACGAUACGAGCUGACGACAGCCAUGCACCACCUGUACACAGGCCACAAGGGAAUACCUAUCUCUAGGCACGUCCUGUGCAUGUCAAACCCAGGUAAGGUUCUUCGCGUUGCAUCGAAUUAAUCCACAUGCUCCGCCGCUUGUGCGGGCCCCCGUCAAUUUCUUUGAGUUUUAGCCUUGCGGCCGUACUCCCCAGGCGAGGUGCUUAAUGCGUUAGCUUCGGCACGGACGGGGUCGAUAUCCGCCCACACCUAGCACCCAACGUUUACGGCUAGGACUAC